rnacentral:rRNA from 3 species
UUACCCGCUGAAUUUAAGCAUAA